AUUGGAGGAUUAAGAGGAUGAGGAGGACAGUGCACAGGCAGCAAGUGGGGAAUCCGUUUUCCCCCCUAGCUAGGAACUAUUCUUAAUGCUGGACCCAAUAGCCUCUUCCCGCUCCCAAGGCAUGCUCCCGGACCAUAACCCUGGAGAAGGCG